rnacentral:rRNA from 1 species
UGGGGAAUAUUGGACAAUGGGCGCAAGCCCGAUCCAGCCAUGCCGCGUGAGUGAUGAAGGCCCUAGGGUUGUAAAGCUCUUUCACCGGUGAAGAUAAUGACGGUAACCGGAGAAGAAGCCCCGGCUAACUUCGUGCCAGCAGCUGCGGUAAUACGAAGGGGGCUAGCGUUGUUCGGAUUUACUGGGCGUAAAGCGCACGUAGGCGGACUUUUAAGUCAGGGGUGAAAUCCCGGGGCUCAACCCCGGAACUGCCUUUGAUACUGGAAGUCUUGAGUAUGGUAGAGGUGAGUGGAAUUCCGAGUGUAGAGGUGAAAUUCGUAGAUAUUCGGAGGAACACCAGUGGCGAAGGCGGCUCACUGGACCAUUACUGACGCUGAGGUGCGAAAGCGUGGGGAGCAAACAG